UGUUGACGUACAAGUUCACUAUUUGUGUGAGGGCAACCAUUUGAGAGAGGUAAUGUUUGGUGUGUGGUCAAUUGUACUGUGAAGGAAACCUGGUGAAGAACCGUGGACAAGGAGAUGAAGGACAGUGGCCUGUUAUGGAAAACCAUCCCCAACAAGUCAAAAGAUAGGCAGCAUUGGUGCUUUCUCGUGAAAACCUUAUGUUCUGUACAGGAACAAAGACCAUUAAGCUAUAUGUUUUUUGGGGGGGAAUCGCCAUGAACAAGAAGGAGUGGUUGCCAGUUUCGUUCAAAUGCAGAUAUACCUAAAUGUAUUGCCAUUCAUUUUAGGCACAUUCACAUGACAAUAGCAACUUCAUAAAACUGUAAUAAAAGCUUCAGAAACACAUUACUAAUGAGUCUAUCCCAUCUGAUUGUCAUGCUUCAUCAGAGUUCCAUUCCCACCCACAGGAUUCCCAUACUCCAUUAUAGGGUAAGCCUAUUUGCUGUUGUUAUGUGCAACCAACACCUGCAAAUAUGCAUGGCUUUGCCAAGGCAUUUCUCAACUGUGUGGAAUCAAAUUCCGUCAGAACACCAUUGUGUACAUGUUAUUUCAGUGGUUGUGUAUUCUGUGAGUGGAAAGAACUCUGGGACAAUACUUGAAGAGUUCCUGGUGUAAGAUAUCUGAGGUCAAGUUGAAAAUGGAGCCAGAAAUGUGAUUUUAUUGUGUUUGCCUUUCUAUAUGCACCUCGUAAUGACCACCCAGGGCUAGGGUUUCACAAAGGAACAUGAAAUGGGAACUUUGGUCUGAACUUCUGCAGGUGGGUUGUGAAAUGUCUUUUUUAUAAAACAAGAAGAUGUGAAACAGGCUGACAGGGUAUUUCUUUUGCAGAAGAGAGUGACGCAAAGUAUGCCGUGUACAGAUCAUCAGCCAAUGGCAGGGUUCAAAAGGAGAUGGCCUCACUAUGUGAGUAUUGCUUUGGUGUUGGUGUCUGUUUCCCUUUUUUGUGUCCAUUUAUACCCUUGUUUCACUUCCUUUUACAUGCUCAAUAGUAAAAGUGUAAGACAAGGAAAAAUAGCUUGGGAGAUGGUAUGUCACAGUGGUGAAUUAUUAAAAUAUAUUUGUACUCCUGUAAGAUAUAUCUUUUCAUUUACAAGAUGGGUUGCCCAUCACUUGAUUUCAGGUGACCCAGGGCAUCCUCCAAAGACCACUAUUUAUCCCCACCCUAGAAAGCUAAAGUAGUUUUUAUUGAAAGGCAUGCUGGACAAAAAUGGCAAACUUCUAAACUGGUUUAGAGUCAUCGCAUUGAAUGCAGCUGCAAGGCAGAGAAUGAGCUGCUUUAGUUUUGCUUGUACAAAAGUGAAUAGAGUAGAGGGAAAUAGUUGUCCACUGACGUCAACGCCCAUGAGUGGAAGUGCUCUCCUUUUAUAGCCACAUUCUCUCUGUCUGGUGCAUUCCUUACAAGAGCACUGCGUCCCAGUGGCCUGGAGAGGGCUGUGACGCACACACAGGGAGAAAUAGAGAAGUUUGCACAUGCCGGGCGUUAGGAGAGGGAAUAAAAAUUCCCCCUCCCAAAACUGUUACUUUCCCUCGACAGGCUCAGUGAACUCAAAGCUCCUUAUCUUUGAGGAAAUGUAAGAACAAUUUUACUUUAGAAUGGACUGAGGUCACACUGAGACUUGGCAAUGAAGUUUGAUGAGGCGCAGAAAUGGGCCUUUACAGACACAUUUGGACUACUACUGAAUCUGCUCUGCAUUGACAAAACAUGACGGAUUACAAUUACACUGUGAAGAAGAUUGCUGUUUUUUAGCAGAAGGCACAGAAUGUUAAAUACAUAUACUUUUACUUCUGAUUCAACAUUUUCUUCCCUUCCACCCUUGGCACAGAAAAUGACAUGCCCCAGCAUUAUAUUGUUAGGGACAGAUAGACAUUUACUGAGGGGGGAGGGUUGUGUGUUUAAAAAAAAAAAUUGGUCACAGGGGAGGGUAGUGCGUUUUUUCCCUGGUUUACUUUCGCUCUUCUGCUUGCAUUUUCCUAAUAAACAAUGGCUUGACUUACUUUUGAUAUUACCCUAAUACAUUUCGAAACAUUUGUGAAGGUUUGUUAUGGUGUGGCUAUUAUUAAGAUUUAGCUACUGCAGGUCUAUGAUAUGAAGGCAGUGCGCCCAGGCGCUCCAACUGACUCCAACAGUUGAACUUGAGGUGAGUU